AUUCUUUCCUGGCAGGGGAGAUACCAUGAUCACCAAGGUGGUUCUCCCAGGGCGAUGCUCAUCUAUUGCAUUCUGGGUGUGCUGACCCCUGCAAGCUCCACUGCUUAAUUUGUGGUAGUGGGGGACUGCAUUUAUGUUUUUUUUCU
rnacentral:snRNA from 1 species